AGGGUCAUCAUACUGGAAAUAGAGUGCUAGGAAGGUAUUUGCCCUGAAAGAGGGCCUUUUUCAACAGCUUCAAGGACGAAAAAGGAGGAGAUUAAGUCGAGCAGAUGAGACUGGCCUCAGUGAAACACUGGACAAAAUUGAAGAGGUGGUUCUUGCUGCACAGGGACUUCAGGAUGUCAUCACCACCAUAAAGAGCUUAACAGAACUUGCCCAUUCCAACCGUAUGUUGACAGUGACUGACAGAGGCCCAAGCUGCGGCUGUUAAAGCUGCCUUCACCUGUGUAAUCUGUAGAGGUACUGUUGAUGACCCUAUGGUUACAUCCUGUUGUAACAGCAUUGUGGCCUGCAGGAUCUGCCUUGAACAGUGGAAGAACAACUCUGGAUUUUGUCCAAAAUACAGAGCCAGUGGAAUUGAUGUGAACAUGCAAAGACUUAUUGGUCUUAGCGAAGUUUUCACAGCACUACAAAAGAUACUUGAGUAAAAUGUUACCUUUACUGUUGUGGCUUGUUCAGGCACUAUGUUUUUAGAGUUUAAGUGUUUUUAUACCAGUUUUAUUGACCCAGCCGCUAAAAGUUCAUACAGCUCUUAAAACAUUUAAUGGGUUUUCAUUACAAGUCUUGCAAAUAUUGCUACGUUUGAUUAAAAAACAAACUCUUGCUCAUGUUAACACAUUUGAAGAAUACUGUUUAGGCAACACUUAACGAUUGCUUACUUUUUUGUAAUCAAGUCAAACAAUAGUAUAUGUAUUCAAAAUAAAACAUUCAAAUGUCAUGUUUGAUUGCCAUACAAUUACAGUGAGUUUGGAGCCAACUGACAACAGCUUUCGACAACAACUGAUGUCAGUGUAACAUACUGAGUAACUUUUAAUUACAUAAACAGAGAAACAAUACU